CAGUGGGUUUUCUGAACCUUCGCUCUUCCCGGAGCCGGCCUUGCUUGUUAGUCUUACAAAGAGAUCCCAAUUCGGGUGGAGAGUGAGGUUUGCGGAAGUGGGCUGUCUUUCGUAGCGUACUUGAACAAACAGGAAGGAAACGGAGUGGUGGGCAGAAUUACGGCGUGGGUUCACUUUUUGACAUUAUUAAAGCAAGCGCUUGGAAUCCAUAAAAGAAAGGAGAAGGAGAGCAUCUGACUACCCUAAGCCUUUCCAAGUCGGGCUAAAUCUGCAGGCUAUCCACCUUUAGUGGGAGCAUCUCCAUAAGAGGACUUCCUUCGGAUUAAACAUGCAUGCCAGAGGCACGGUGGUUAUUAGUGGAAAUCGCUCGUGAAUUUGUCAAGAGGCGGAGGUGGGCUUCUAUUCUGGUCGUCUCAACAACUGAGUGCUAUUGCUCUCUUUUAAAGACACAGUCUGGCACAAAGCCCGAACAAAAUGUACUUGCUGUGUGUCCAAGCAGAGUGGCUGCUGUUCCUUAAGGACUGCAGCCCAAUUGAAAGGUUUUUUUAGGAGUAUGUUCAGAAUGAGAGAACCUUGUCUCUCGAAUAGCAGUAUGCCUCCUGGUGUACUUGGAAAACAGUUUAAUAAGUAGUUUUCUAAUGGAGUUGUCUUUGUGCAGGAUGUAGCCUUACUAAAUUUGAAUGUGAAGAGACGGGGGUAAUUGUUCAAGUAUGAUCUAGUUUCCAGUGCAAAUCCUACUCAGUUGUUGACAAAUGCCCCAAUAUAGAUAGGUAAAGAAGCAGUCUAGAGCAGCAGUUCCCAUCUGUUUUAUUUCCUACUGAUCAUUUGAAAUGUGUUAGGAAGCUUGGUGGACCAUGCAUAUUGUCGUUGUUCUACAAUCAAUGUACAGCCACACCUCAUUUGUAAAACAUUUUUUCAGUACUGGAAUUACUACCACCAGCACUGGGUUAUGAAGAUUGCAUGCCCUAAACCAGUGACUUGGUAGCCUCUUCAGUAAGCUGGCUCCCAACAACAGCUUUGAUCACCAUACUUAAAAUGAUUGGAAAGACAAGGCUAAGGAUAGAUAUUCUCAGUUAUUCCACAACCAGCUUACCUGAAUGAACCACAGUAUGAGAACCUCUGACCUAAAGCAAGCAUUUUCACAUUUUCUUGCAGAGGAAACCCAUUUUACAUCAACUAAUCAGUCAGCCAUGCAUCUCGGGACAUUCUAAAGUGUUGCAAAGAAUUCUAUAAAUUGUUCUAGAGCUCAGACUCUACCCAUGCACUGGCAGAAGAUACUGACCUUCAAUUACUUGGAUCUAAUACAGAAUUAGGUUUUCACUUCCAUGGUAACUGAGUCAAGCAGUCAAACAUCCUCUCAGCUUUGAAGCUUCAUAGGUGGAUGAGGAUCAUCCAUAGUGGUUUCCACCAGCUCCAAGGUUAUGUGGAGGAACAGUAAGUCUAGAAGGCAGGACGUUUGCAUUGCAGGCAUUAAGUGGUAUGUGGAGAAAGAAUCCAUGUGCCUGUCCUUGGCAGCAGCAAAACAACCACUGCAGUUUGAAAAUGGGACUUAGGCUACAGUUGUAAACAUAAGGGAAAAGUCUCAUUGAACUCAGUGAGACUUAUUUUGGAUAAACUUGUAUAAUCAGGUGGUACUAGGUGAUUUCCAUUCAUAGUUCCCAAAAUGGCUUCCACUUGUGGAUGGAGUUUCUAAGACAGAAUUUUCUCCUGUCCCUUCUCAAAAUCUAAGGGUAUCUUAUGACAAUGUUGAGUAUGUUACAUAUAACUAAAUAAACAUGUUUUAAAAUCUCCCUAAACACCCUUACAUUAAGGCUACAUUCCUAUACAAACUUACCUGAGAGUAAGGCCCAUUGGGGUAAUGUGGCUUAUGUCAGUUGGUAUGUAUAGGAUCGCACAAUAAAACUUCCCAUGCUUCAUACUUCUACAGUUUCAGUAUUUUCCAUAUUCUUAUCCACUGUUCCUUCUGUCCUGAAUGGGUCUUCCUCUCCUUCCAAGAAGAUCAGAACAAACAGCCUUCUAAGUUUCCAAUUGUUCCUUGAUGGAGAGACCACCUGCUGCUGAAGCAUAGAAAAGAAGCUCCAACAUUUCACAGCAUCAUUAUCAGCUGACUGGUGUAAACAGAUGAGAGAAAUGUAUAAAUCAGCAGCAGCAAUUUGUAAAUGAACAACAAGAAUGUGGCCGAGAGUUUGGACCCCUGGAGAUGUAGCGCUCAAACUCCUGAUUUAGCAAUAUUCAGUAGGUAUUGGUGUGACUCAGUUCUGACUGAUAGCUACUGAACAACAACAACCAUGGUAACCCUUCAAAACUCUACACUUUCUCGAUAUUUCCAAAACUAUUUUUUAGGUUGUGCAAAAAGCAGAGAAUGGAAAAAAGAAACAAGCUCCCAAAAUAUGACUAGGAGCUUUCAUCAUUGGGUGUGCAGUUUAGAAAUUUACUGAUUUAUUUAUAGAUAGUUGUUAUGUGCUAUCAAGUUGUUCCCAGUUUAUAGCAGCGCUAUGAAUAAAAGCCUUCCAAAAUGCUGUCCAUGAUAGCCCUGCUCAGCUCUUGUAAAUUCAAGGCUGUGGCUUCCUUUAUGGAUUCAGUCCAUCUUGUAUUGGGUCUUCGUUUUCUUCUACCUUCGAUGUUCCCUAGCAUGGUUGUAUUCUCAGGGAGUUUGCCUUCUCAUGAUGUGCCCAAAGUUUAAUCUCAAAAUAGAGAUUUGCAAAUUACCCAGUUCCCUGCUUUUUGUCCCAGCUGUUGAAGAAUUGUGGAGUUAAAAGUUUACAUAGUUUUGUGGAAUAUUGGCUGGUCCUAAUAAAGGCAUUACCCAACUGGGGAUUUCAUAAAUGCAGGUCAUAGUAAAUUAAUUUUAGCACUUACUUGUUUUCAUAGUGAACUGAGUGCUUCCAAGACCAAAUCUGACAAACUUAACACUGCAUUCAUUUCAUUGGUCUUUGUCUUAACUUAUGUACUUUCUACAGUUGUAAUACAGCUAUCUUGUUUGACUUUAUGAGUUCAAUUUAAUAAGCAUAGUUUGGCUUCCUUUUGCAAUAUUCAAAGUAUAUAUGCCUACUUGUUUUGGCACCAGGUCAAAACUUUCUUAAUUUCUCACCAUUUUAAUUGUCAGUUAUGCCAUUUGCUUUUAUAUAGGCUUUUAAAUUGUUUUGGUACAUGUAGAAUAGUUGUGAUUAUGCAUUGUUUUGUUCAUUGUUUGAUUGCAUGCCUGUCAAAUUUCAUUGUCAUGUGAAUGUUUAUGACAGGCGAGUCUGUUUUAAACCUGUUUUUAAAUUGAUUGUUAUUUGGUAUAUUUUUAAUUAUAUUCUGUAUACUCUGAGAGUAUUGUGCUAAUUCAAUGGCAUAGAAAUGCCUUAAAUAGAUAAAUAAUACAUGGUUAGAUAACUAGUCUAUACAAGAGAUAGUAGGCUCUGGAACACAAAAACUUAUGACGCAAUAAGUUUGUCAUUUUAUUUGACAAGGUGCAAUGCUAUGAACAGCUCGCUAAAGAAGGAUAUUAGUUACAGUGGAAACCUGUGAAUCUGUCAGUACUGGCAGCAUGACACUUUUUUUUGUCUUUUCCAUUUUACCUAGAUGGAAACUGAGUUUCUUAAAACACAAUCCUAUUCAAGUUUAAACAGAGGUAAAGGCCUACAACUCCCAGCCCUCCCCAGCCAGCACAGCUGGGAUUAUAGUCCUUUUUUCUCUGUCUCAACUUUCAUAUGGUUGCACCUUGGUGAUUAUAGUUGUAGCUAGUAGAAAUAUGGAAGGAGAAAACUGCAGUUCAGUCUGUUAACUUGCUUUGCUUCAACUGUAUUCCUUGAAAAAUAGCCAUACUAAAUACUCCGGUCUCUUUUUAAGUUGAUGAUUAAUUCCUUGCAUGCUCCAGAUGUUUACUUUUAAUCUUCCCUUUGGUUAUAUUUUAUGCAUUAUAUUCCAGAUUGAAUCCAACUUUUGCCCUUUUCAACUAAUUUUGGUGCUUUUUCAUCUUAUAAGAAUUAAAUUUAUGACUUUAAUUUUGUCAUAUUUACAAAGGAAAGGGUUACAAUACAUUUGCUGUUCUGUAUCAGGUGUUGAAUGAAGGGAAAAUCAAACAUCCAGUUAGUACAUAAAAUUAUUUACAUUAUGUAUAUUAUUACCAAUAAAAUUUUAAAACAGAAAAGAAUGUUAAAUGUGUUCAAUAUGUAAAAGCUUCU